GAGAACUCCCAUCUGCCUCAGCCUGCCACUGGACCAGGGAAACCACCCUCCAGGAAAAGGUAAGAACCUGGAGGGUGGCUAAAUGUAUGUCAGUAGGUCUGUGUGUGUGUGUCAGUCUGUGUGUAUGCCUGUGUGUGUGUGUGUCAGUAUGUCUGUGUGUAUGCCAGUAUGUCUGUGUGUGUGUGUGUGUGUGUCAGUAUGUCUGUGUGUAUGCCAGUAUGUCUGUGUGUGUAUGCCAGUAUGUCCAGUAUGUCUGUGUGUGUGUGUCAGUAUGUCCCAGUAUGUCUGUGUGUGUAUGCCAGUAUGUCUGUGUGUGUGUGUGUGUGUCAGUAUGUCUGUGUGUAUGCCAGUAUGUCUGUGUGUGUAUGUCAGUGUGUGUGUGUGCGUAUGUCUGUGUGUGUGUGUGUGUCAGUAUGUCUGUGUGUAUGCCAGUAUGUCUGUGUGUGUGUGUGUCAGUAUGUCUGUGUGUGUGUGUAUGUAGGUAUGUCUCUGUGUGUGUGUGUACGUGUGUGUCAGUAUGUCUGCCAGGAUAUAUUUGUGUGUCAGUGUAUGUGUGUGUCAGUAUGU
rnacentral:lncRNA from 1 species